AUUGAACGCUGGCGGCAGGCUUAACACAUGCAAGUCGAGCGGAGCGGCGGACGGGUGAGUAAUGCCUAGGAAUCUGCCUGGUAGUGGGGGAUAACGUCCGGAAACGGGCGCUAAUACCGCAUACUCUCAGAUGAGCCUAGGCCGGAUUAGCUAGUUGGUGGGGUAAUGGCCUACCAAGGCGACGAUCCGUAACUGGUCUGAGAGGAUGAUCAGUCAAACUGGAACGGAGACACGGUCCAGACUCCUACGGGAGGCAGCAGUGGGGAAUAUUGGACAAUGGGCGAAACCCUGAUCCAGCCAUGCCGCGUGUGUGAAGAAGGUCUUCGGAUUGUAAAGCACUUUAGGUUGAGAGGCGUUACCAACAGAAUAAGCACCGGCUAACUUCGUGCCAGCCGCCGCGGUAAUAC
rnacentral:rRNA from 1 species